rnacentral:rRNA from 1 species
GAGUUUGAUCAUGGCUCAGAUUGAACGCUGGCGGCAUGCCUUACACAUGCAAGUCGAACGGCAGCACGGGAGCUUGCUCCUGGUGGCGAGUGGCGAACGGGUGAGUAAUGCAUCGGAACGUAUCCUGGAGUGGGGGAUAACGUAGCGAAAGUUACGCUAAUACCGCAUAUUCUGUGAGCAGGAAAGCGGGGGACCUUCGGGCCUCGCGCUCCUGGAGCGGCCGAUGUCGGAUUAGCUAGUUGGUGAGGUAAAGGCUCACCAAGGCGACGAUCCGUAGCAGGUCUGAGAGGAUGAUCUGCCACACUGGAACUGAGACACGGUCCAGACUCCUACGGGAGGCAGCAGUGGGGAAUUUUGGACAAUGGGGGCAACCCUGAUCCAGCCAUGCCGCGUGAGUGA